UACGGCCGCAAGGUUAAAACUCAAAUGAAUUGACGGGGGCCCGCACAAGCGGUGGAGCAUGUGGUUUAAUUCGAUGCAACGCGAAGAACCUUACCUACUCUUGACAUCCAGAGAACUUUCCAGAGAUGGAUUGGUGCCUUCGGGAACUCUGAGACAGGUGCUGCAUGGCUGUCGUCAGCUCGUGUUGUGAAAUGUUGGGUUAAGUCCCGCAACGAGCGCAACCCUUAUCCUUUGUUGCCAGCGGUUCGGCCGGGAACUCAAAGGAGACUGCCAGUGAUAAACUGGAGGAAGGUGGGGAUGACGUCAAGUCAUCAUGGCCCUUACGAGUAGGGCUACACACGUGCUACAAUGGCAUAUACAAAGAGAAGCGACCUCGCGAGAGCAAGCGGACCUCAUAAAGUAUGUCGUAGUCCGGAUUGGAGUCUGCAACUCGACUCCAUGAAGUCGGAAUCGCUAGUAAUCGUAGAUCAGAAUGCUACGGUGAAUACGUUCCCGGGCCUUGUACACACCGCCCGUCACACCAUGGGAGUGGGUUGCAAAAGAAGUAGGUAGCUUAACCUUCGGGAGGGCGCUUACCACUUUGUGAUUCAUGACUGGGGUGAAGUCGUAACAA
rnacentral:rRNA from 1 species